rnacentral:rRNA from 1 species
UACUUCCCCCGGAACCCAAAAGCUUUGGUUUCCCGGAAGCUGCCCGCCGAGUCAUCGGAGGAACGUCGGCGGAUCGCUAGCUGGCAUCGUUUAUGGUCAGAACUAGGGCGGUAUCUGAUCGCCUUCGAACCUCUGACUUUCGUUCUUGAUUAAUGAAAACAUUUUUGGCAAAUGCUUUCGCUUCUGUCCGUCUUGCGACGAUCCAAGAAUUUCACCUCUAACGUCGCAAUACGAAUGCCCCCAUCUGUCCCUAUUAAUCAUUACCUCGGGGUUCCGAAAACCAACAAAAUAGAACCGAGGUCCUGUUCCAUUAUUCCAUGCACACAAUAUUCAGGCGAAAUUUUAGCCUGCUUUGAGCACUCUAAUUUGUUCAAAGUAAACGUGCCGGCCCGCCUCGACACUCAAUUAAGAGCACCGCGACAGGAUUAUUGAGUCGGAUGCUGGAGCGCCUGCAACCCCACCACAUUAUACAGUAACAACCGAAGUUGCACACGCAUAAUGGGGAAGCAUACAAGGUCCGCGCAUCCACCGGCAGGACGUUCCGCGGACGUGCCAGUUAAACACCGCGGGCGGUGAACCGACAGCGCGGAACACAAAUUCAACUACGAGCUUUUUAACCGCAA